rnacentral:rRNA from 1 species
UUAGGGUAAGGCUUUUGUUUAGUAUACCUAGCUAAACGAAUAAGUGCUGGGUAAGACCGGUGCCAGCCGCCGCGGUACCACCGGCAGCACAAGUGGUGACCGCUUUUAUUGGGCCUAAAGCGUUCGUAGCCGGUUUGGUAAGUCUUUGGGUAAAUCCUUCGGCUUAACCGAAGGACUUCCGAAGAUACUGCCAGACUUGGAGUUGAGAGAAGUCAGAGGUACCUCUGGGGUAGGGGUGAAAUCCUAUAAUCCUGGGGGGACCACCAGUGGCGAAGGCGUCUGACUAGAGCAAGCUCGACGGUGAGGGACGAAAGCCAGGGGCGCGAACGGGAUUAGAUACCCCGGUAGUCCUGGCCGUAAACGCUGCGCGCUAGGUGUUGCAUGCUCUACGAGGGCGUGCAGUGCCGAAGAGAAGUUGAUAAGCGUGCCGCCUGGGAAGUAUUACCGCAAGGUAGAAACUUAAAGGAAUUGGCGGGGGAGCACCACAAGGGGUGGAGUCUGCGGUUCAAUUGGAUUCAACGCCGGGAAACUCACCGGGAGCGACGGCAGAAUGAUAGCCAAGCUGAUGACUUUGCUUGACGAGCCGAGAGGAGGUGCAUGGCCGUCGUCAGCUCGUACUGUGAAGCGUCCUGUUAAGUCAGGUAACGAGCGAGACCCGUGCCCUUAGUUGCUAAGGUAUCCCAUCGGGAUGCUAGCACUCUAGGGGGACCGCCAGUGCUAAACUGGAGGAAGGUGCGGGCGACUAUAGGUCAGUAUGCCCCGAAUCUCCCGGGCUACACGCGGACUACAAUGGAUGGUACAAUAGGUUUCGACUCCGAGAGGAGAAGGAAAUCCCCAAAGCUAUUCGAAGUUCAGAUUGCGGGUUGCAACCCACCCGCAUGAAGCCGGAAUCCCUAGUAAUCGCGUGUCAUCAUCGCGCGGUGAAUAUGUCCCUGCUCCUUGCACACACCGCCCGUCAAGCCACCCGAGUGGAGCUUGGUCGAGGCUAUAUCCUUUGGGUAUAUUCG